CAAAUGCUCUCAGCAUUAUUGCCUUCAAAAGAAUUUUUUCUACAUGAUUACUGAAAUGUCUGGCUCAUGAAAGAGAAAGUACUUCGAAAGUGCGUAUACUGAGAUAGGCCCAGGGUUAUAUCGGAACAAAAACAACCCAGAAAGACAUCAGUGUCCACAAACAUUCAUCGAUUGCAACUGUCGAUAAUGGAUCCUUUACCUAGCGGCGAUUCUUUGGAUCCAGAAGACACUCCAUUGCAGUUGAUGCUCCGCCGACCUCCGACGACAUCGAGUUCAACUGGUAACCAUUCGGAGUGUAGCUGCUACGUGAAGCAACCUAAAUCUCAAUUUCAACGUUCUCUGAAACAUCAACUGCUAACCGGCAAUGACAUAACCAAGUUUAACAAAGACUUGAUUAAAAUUAUUCUGGCUCUGUUGCCAGAUCAAACCGAAAUGCGUCAAAUUUUUGAUAGGGAAACUCGGGUUCCAAUUGUUCAAUGUGCAGGAGUAUUCGAGGAAAGUGACGAGCGAUUUGUAACCUCCAAUGAUGAUUCAGUCAUCAGAAGUUUGUCGCGCUACGCCGGAGUUCAUUGGUUGCCAGAAUUACACGUGAGAAUGCAUGAUUUAAUUCAUGCCAUCAAAUUCUCUGCUGAAAGAAUAAGGGAAAAUCCAGCGAGGAACAAUACUAAUAACUGGAAUAAUGAAAUGGGACAACAUCUCGAGGAGUUGAAGCAUAUCGUCAACGAGUUGCAAGGAGCCGCAGAACGUUGUGAACGUCACUAGCUAAAGAACUUUCUGUAAUUUACGAUUAACUAACUUUCUUUCAAAACUACUUGCACAUAUCAAAACUGUUUGCAAUCAAUUAAAACUUUUACCU